CCUACGGGAGGCAGCAGUGGGGGAUAUUGCACAAUGGGGGAAACUCUGAUGCAGCGAUGCCGCGUGAGUGAAGACGUCUUUCUGUAUGUAAAGCUCUAUUUGUAGGGAAGUAAAUCACAGUACCUGACUAAGAUUCCCCGGCUAAUUCCGUUCCAGCAGCCGCGGUAAUACGUAGGGGGCAAGCGUUAUCCGGAUUUUCUGGGUGUAAAGGGAGCGUAGGCGGUUAUGUAAGUCCGUAGUGAAAGCCCGGGGCCCAACCCCGGGACUGCUUUGGAUACUGUGUAGCUGGAGUACAGGCGGGGCAGGCGGAAUUCAUGGUGUAGCGGUGAAAUGCGUAGAGAUCAGAAGGAACACCGACGGCGAAGGCAGCCUACUGAACUGAGACUGACGUUGAGGCUCGAAAGCGUGGGGAGCAAACAGGAUUAGAUACCCCAGUAGUC
rnacentral:rRNA from 1 species